rnacentral:tRNA from 1 species
GGCUUAGCUCAGUGGUAGAGCAGCGCUUUUGUAAAGCGAAGGUCAUCGGUUCAAAUCCGUUAGCCG